GCCGCUAGUCUUUCCCGUGUGACUCCUUCACAAGCUGCUACCAUAGAACAGAAUACUAAUGGGCGGGCUACUACAUAGAUGCAGAGAAGCGCUCUGACGCCGUGGCAGAGCCACUGCAUGGAGAAUGUGCACCUUCCUGCUCAGACCAAGUGAAGGGACUGUUUAAAAGCAGCAAGUGGAGGCCGGGAAGACAGCACAGUCAGUAAAGUGACUGCCCUGAAAUUAUGAGGGCCUGAGUUCAGAUCCCAGCACCCAUCUAAAAAGCUGAGUGUGUACCUACAAUUCCAGCACUGAAGGCAGAUACAGGAGGAUCUCUAUGACAGACUAACCAGCGAACCUAACUGAAUGGUGAGCUCCAAGUGAAAAACUGUCUCAAAAAAUAAGGUGGAGGGCUGGAGAGAUGGCUCAGUGGUUAAGAACACUGUCUUCUCUUCCUGGGGACCCAGGUUCAGUUCCUAGUACCCACAUGGCAGCUCACAACCGUGUGUAACUCCAGUUCCAGGGAAUUGGAUUCUCUCUGUUGGCCUACUCUGACACCAGGCAUACAUGUGGUACACAGAUAUGUAAGCAGGCAAACACGCAUACACAUAAAAUAAAAAUGUUUUAAUAUUAAUUAAACAAAUGUUUUAAUUAAUUAAACAAAAAUAAGGUAGGAGAAAUGGCUCAGUAGUUAAGAGCAACUGCUGUGCAAGGCAUAAAGACCAAGUUCAGAUCCCAGUACACAUGUUAAAGUUAAGUAUGGUCCUGUGCCAUCCUGUAACCCCAGCCCUCAAAAGUGUAGAGACAGGAGGAUCACUGCGGUUAGGGGGCUGUCAGCCUAGUUGGAAAAUUACAGCGCUAAGUUCAUCAAGAUAUCCUGCCUCAAAGAACCAAGAUGGAAAGUAAUAGAGAAGAUACAUGGCACCUUCUGGCCUACACACACACACACACAGACACCUGUCCACACAUGUGCAUAUGCCACACGCAUCUCACACACAUAUACAUACAUGUGCACAUACACACAGAAUAAGGUGGAGAGUGAUUGAGGAAGACACUAGACACUUGCGAGACAGAGUUUCUCUAUGUAACAGUCUUGGCUGUCCUGGAUCUCACUAUGUAGACCAGACUGGCCUCGAACUCAGAGAUCCACCUGCCUCUGCCUCCCGAGUGCUGGGAUUAAAGGCAUGCGCCACCACUGCCCAGCAAUGUUAGACACUUUGAAGAUGUUAAUUUCUGACCUCCACAAACUCAGGCACACACAGUUGUACAUUCAUGGGACUGAAGGUUCACAUCAAUCUCAGGCUAGAAACAAACAAAAAAAGAAGGAGGAGGAGGAGGAG